UACAGAGGGUGCAAGCGUUGUUCGGAUUCAUUGGGCGUAAAGGGUGCGUAGGCGGCGCGGUAAGUCGGGUGUGAAAUCUCGGGGCUUAACUCCGAAACUGCAUUCGAUACUGCCGUGCUUGAGGACUGGAGAGGAGACUGGAAUUUACGGUGUAGCGGUGAAAUGCGUAGAUAUCGUAAGGAAGACCAGUGGCGAAGGCGGGUCUCUGGACAGUUCCUGACGCUGAGGCACGAAGGUCAGGGGGAGCAAACGGG
rnacentral:rRNA from 1 species